GGUGGCUCAGUGGUAGAGCGCUUGCCUUGCAUGCAUGAGGCAGGCCCUGGGUUCGAUUCCUCAGCACCA
rnacentral:tRNA from 1 species